CUAUUUUAGGAAAGUUUUCAUUUUUUCAUAGAAAUAUUGUAGAUUUGGGGUUGUGAUUUAGAAAUUAGGAUAACAAUAAUUUUUGUUGAUAGAUGAGUAUUAUUUCAGAUUUUUUUGAUCAAUAGUUGUAUUUUUUAAAUAUAAUUUUCAAAAAUUCUAUUUUAGGAAAGUUUUCAUUUUUUCAUAGAAAUAUUGUAGAUUUGGGGUUGUGAUUUAGAAAUUAGGAUAACAAUAAUUUUUGUUGAUAGAUGAGUAUUAUUUUAGAUUUUUUGAUCAAUAGUUGUAUUUUUUAAAUAUAAUUUUCAAAAAUUCUAUUUUAGGAAAGUUUUCAUUUUUUCAUAGAAAUAUUGUAGAUUUGGGG
rnacentral:lncRNA from 1 species